rnacentral:rRNA from 1 species
UACGUAGGGUGCAAGCGUUAUUCGGAAUUACUGGGCGUAAAGGGCGCGUAGGCGGUUUUGUAAGUCGGAUGUGAAAGCCCAGGGCUUAACCUUGGAAGUGCAUCCGAAACUGCAUAACUGGAGUCUCGGAGAGGGUGGUGGAAUUCCCAGUGUAGAGGUGAAAUUCGUAGAUAUUGGGAAGAACACCGAUGGCGAAGGCAGCCAUCUGGACCGACACUGACGCUGAGGCGCGAAAGCGUGGGGAGCAAACAGG